rnacentral:rRNA from 1 species
UACGAAGGGGGCUAGCGUUGCUCGGAAUCACUGGGCGUAAAGCGCACGUAGGCGGCUUUUUAAGUCAGGGGUGAAAUCCCGGAGCUCAACUCCAGAACUGCCUUUGAUACUGAGAGGCUUGAGUCCGGGAGAGGUGAGUGGAACUGCGAGUGUAGAGGUGAAAUUCGUAGAUAUUCGCAAGAACACCAGUGGCGAAGGCGGCCCACUGGCCCGGUACUGACGCUGAGGUGCGAAAGCGUGGGGAGCAAACAGG